UUGGAAAUACCAUUGACUAAUUUCUCCCAUGUUUUGUUGUUGGGUUUUGUUUUCCCCUUAUUUUCUUCCAUAUUUAGAGCAGCCAGACAGAUGAAAAGAUCUUAACACCCUGAAUGUUUAGCAUGCUGAGCAGUGCCUGGAAGCAAGCUUCAUCACAACGUGAACAUUUAGAAGCCCUUGUUACUGGAACAGCAGCUUUUUAUGACACAGGCAAGAAUUAAGCACCAGAGAAGCAACAGCUUCGUUUGAAAAAUCCAGGAUGGAUUCCAGAAGGACUGCAUCAGGACUUUAUGCUGCCACCUCUAAAGGACUUCUAAGCAGUGCAGCAGCUUCCAGGGUCACCACCAAAAUGAUUUAAAACAUGAGAUGUGGCAAUCACAACUACAGAAGCUGACUUUUACAGAUGGGAAAACUGACAUCCAGACAUUUUGACAGGACAGUCUUCCACCACCACUCAGCAUCAAAAAAACCCUUAUGUUUAUUUGCUUAUCAUAAUGACUGCAGGCAAACGAUCACAGAAGUUAGUAGAAAGCAAGCAUGCAGGACAGCAAUUCAGCAUCAGAGAGGAACAGGAAAUAGCACUUGUUAGCACCCUGCAUCCAAAUUCAUCAAAGCAGUUUACAAACUUCAUUGAAACUCAGCCUUGGCACAAAUCUGUUAGGCAAGGAAAUGUUAUUGCCAGUAUUUCCCAGAUGUAAAUGCAGUGACAGAGACACAGGUCACUAGAAGACACUGACAGAGUUAACAGUACUGCUCCACUAGCUGAUACCCACUCCCACAUCUAGGCACUAAUGCAGCCUGGAUGCUGAAGCAAUGCAGAAGAGCUUCCUGUCCAUUCACAAGUAUAACAACAGUCAGCAACAAGUGAAAUUGAGUUGGACACAGCUCUUCCUCUCUUGCUGGAAGAACUUCACUAAGAAGCCUUACACAGACAUGGCUGAAACUCACAGAGCAGCUGGCUGCCUAAUGUCUUAGUCCUGAGCCAACUUCUUCACCCAGGACCUAUUUUCUAGGGGACAACACAGAUGCACCACAGCUGGACCACCACCUCUGAGUUGUUCUCAAACCACUGGAUUCUGAUUUUGUUUAUAGCAAUACAUCUGCAGCCAUUAAUUCAAAUACUCCAUUUCCAUUAAAAGACAUAUUUGAAUACUUGUUCAAUUAUGUGUAUUUGGCUCAGAAGGCUGGGACGGUGUUCUUCAGGCUCCAAGAGCUUGGCUAUCUAAGAAACAAACAAUGUAGCCCAGAAAUCCCAGCACUGGCUUGGCUCUGCAAUCAGUUUGUAACUGCUGCUACUCACUCAUGCACUGAACCCACCACUUGUCAUGGUGCCACGGGUAUGUUUCUAAAGAGGUCCACCUCAAGGUAGGGCUGUAAGUCAAUCAAGAACCCAGCUGGGGCCUGGCUGUGGGCUGAUCAGUAAUUCAGGUUACUGAAUUACCACUCCCACAGAGGAAACCUCUGAUGGUAGCAUUGCCUUUUUUUUUCCCAAGGGUAAAGCUCACCUGACAACAGUCAAUGCUCACUGUAAAGGUACACCGCUCUUUCCAUUACCACAUCUGAUCUAAGAGGUGGCAGAAUUGAGAAGGUCUAGUGUUGGUGUAACUGUAUAAUUACUGUUAAUAAAUACCAGUUGGAUUAAAUCACAUUGUGCCUCAGAAGCCACUCUUGCUGGGGAAAUUGCUUACAGCUUCAGACAGCAGCCUAAUUUCCAUUAAUACCACAACCCAAAUGCAGUUAAGUGACAUUCUCAUGAGCACUUUCUGACUGCCAGGUUUGCUGCAAGCCUUUCUCUUCCUGCAAGGCAAUGAAUCUCUGAUGCUGGCAAUUUGCUUGGAAGCAUCCUUUCUGUGCAAAUGCAGGAAAUAUUUCUGAAUUACUUCUAAGAGUUGUGCUAUUUCACAUCCAAA